rnacentral:rRNA from 1 species
CCUACGGGAGGCACCAGUGGGGAAUAUUGGGCAAUGGGCGCAAGCCUGACCCAGCAACGCCGCGUGAAGGAAGAAGGCUUUCGGGUUGUAAACUUCUUUUCUGAGGGACGAAGAAAGUGACGGUACCUGAGGAAUAAGCCACGGCUAACUACGUGCCAGCAGCCGCGGUAAUACGUAGGUGGCAAGCGUUAUCCGGAUUUAUUGGGUGUAAAGGGCGUGUAGGCGGGAAAGCAAGUCAGAUGUGAAAACCCAGGGCUCAACCCUUGGCCUGCAUUUGAAACUGUUUUUCUUGAGUGCUGGAGAGGCAAUCGGAAUUCCUGGUGUAGCGGUGAAAUGCGUAGAUAUACGGAGGAACACCAGUGGCGAAGGCGGAUUGCUGGACAGCAACUGACGCUGAGGCGCGAAAGCGUGGGGAGCAAACAGGAUUAGAUACCCCAGUAGUC